rnacentral:tRNA from 1 species
CCUGGUGGCUCAGACAGUAAAGAAUCUGCCUGUAAUGCAGAAGACCCAGGUUUGAUCCCUGGGUCAGGA